ensembl:lncRNA
GGAGAGACUCUGGGUUGGUGAAUUCGUGGAGGUCCUGAAAGAGUGGUGCUCUAAGAGAAGCCCCCACUGAAGCUCAAAGCCUCCUGACCUGCCUGCAGGGCAAAUCUGAAGCCUCAGCCCAGAUCAGCCAGGAGCUGGAGCUGGACAGCACAGUGACAACCCUGACUGGGGAAGAAAGAGCACACCAUGGGCCCAGUGAGAUGAGAAUUGUUUCCUGUAAUCUUCCCAAUGAGCCUCUAAGAACAUCUUUCCAGAGUACAUUCUGACCAGAGGCUUGUUGAAUUGGCCAGACCUGCUUUCUGGCUUCAGAGUGAUGCCUAGUUUUCUAGGUUUUGCUUGUAAAUCAAGAAGAGGCAGUAGAUACAGUCAUGGAAAAAGGCAGAAGAAAACAGACAAAUCAGUUUUCAGUAACCAUGGGCUCUGAUCCUUUCUUGACCAUGAAAGUGAAGUGUUCAACAUAUACCUGCCAAAAAGCUUAUGAGGAUAUGGGCUCGUAAAGGGAUGUAAGCAGCAACAACCAGACGUGCAGCAACAACGACACGGGCUACACAGUGUUCUGGGAAAGACUGAAGGCAGGAGGUGAAGGGGACAUCGGAGGAUGCGACGGUCGGAUGGCACCACUGACUCAAUGGACAUGAGUUUGAGCAACCUCUGGGAGUUGGUGAUGGACAGGGAAGCCUGGCGUGCUGCAAUCCAUGGGGCUGCAAAGAGUCAGACACAACUGAGCAACUGAACUGAACACAGUAUUCUUAAAAGCUUAAUCAGUUGUUGACACUCAACAACCA